rnacentral:rRNA from 1 species
AAAGCGUAAUAGCUCACUGGUCGAGUCGGCCUGCGCGGAAGAUGUAACGGGGCUAAACCAUGCACCGAAGCUGCGGCAGCGACGCUGAUGCGUUGUUGGGUAGGGGAGCGUUCUGUAAGCCUGCGAAGGUGACCUGUGAGGGUUGCUGGAGGUAUCAGAAGUGCGAAUGCUGACAUAAGUAACGAUAAAGCGGGUGAAAAGCCCGCUCGCCGGAAGACCAAGGGUUCCUGUCCAACGUUAAUCGGGGCAGGGUGAGUCGACCCCUAAGGCGAGGCCGAAAGGCGUAGUCGAUGGGAAACGGGUUAAUAUUCCCGUACUUGGUGUUACUGCGAAGGGGGGACGGAGAAGGCUAUGUUGGCCGGGCGACGGUUGUCCCGGUUUAAGCGUGUAGGUGUGUGUUCCAGGUAAAUCCGGUUCACUUUAACACUGAGGCGUGACGACGAGGCACUACGGUGCUGAAGCAACAAAUGCCCUGCUUCCAGGAAAAGCCUCUAAGCAUCAGGUAACAUCAAAUCGUACCCCAAACCGACACAGGUGGUCAGGUAGAGAAUACCAAGGCGCUUGAGAGAACUCGGGUGAAGGAACUAGGCAAAAUGGUGCCGUAACUUCGGGAGAAGGCACGCUGACACGUAGGUGAAGUGAUUUACUCAUGGAGCUGAAGUCAGUCGAAGAUACCAGCUGGCUGCAACUGUUUAUUAAAAACACAGCACUGUGCAAACACGAAAGUGGACGUAUACGGUGUGACGCCUGCCCGGUGCCGGAAGGUUAAUUGAUGGGGUCAGCGCAAGCGAAGCUCCUGAUCGAAGCCCCGGUAAACGGCGGCCGUAACUAUAACGGUCCUAAGGUAGCGAAAUUCCUUGUCGGGUAAGUUCCGACCUGCACGAAUGGCGUAAUGAUGGCCAGGCUGUCUCCACCCGAGACUCAGUGAAAUUGAACUCGCUGUGAAGAUGCAGUGUACCCGCGGCAAGACGGAAAGACCCCGUGAACCUUUACUAUAGCUUGACACUGAACAUUGAGCCUUGAUGUGUAGGAUAGGUGGGAGGCUUUGAAGUGUGGACGCCAGUCUGCAUGGAGCCGACCUUGAAAUACCACCCUUUAAUGUUUGAUGUUCUAACGUGGACCCGUAAUCCGGGUUGCGGACAGUGUCUGGUGGGUAGUUUGACUGGGGCGGUCUCCUCCUAAAGAGUAACGGAGGAGCACGAAGGUUGGCUAAUCCUGGUCGGACAUCAGGAGGUUAGUGCAAUGGCAUAAGCCAGCUUGACUGCGAGCGUGACGGCGCGAGCAGGUGCGAAAGCAGGUCAUAGUGAUCCGGUGGUUCUGAAUGGAAGGGCCAUCGCUCAACGGAUAAAAGGUACUCCGGGGAUAACAGGCUGAUACCGCCCAAGAGUUCAUAUCGACGGCGGUGUUUGGCACCUCGAUGUCGGCUCAUCACAUCCUGGGGCUGAAGUAGGUCCCAAGGGUAUGGCUGUUCGCCAUUUAAAGUGGUACGCGAGCUGGGUUUAGAACGUCGUGAGACAGUUCGGUCCCUAUCUGCCGUGGGCGCUGGAGAACUGAGGGGGGCUGCUCCUAGUACGAGAGGACCGGAGUGGACGCAUCACUGGUGUUCGGGUUGUCAUGCCAAUGGCACUGCCCGGUAGCUAAAUGCGGAAGAGAUAAGUGCUGAAAGCAUCUAAGCACGAAACUUGCCCCGAGAUGAGUUCUCCCUGAGACUUAGAGUCUCCUGAAGGAACGUUGAAGACGACGACGUUGAUAGGCCGGGUGUGUAAGCGCAGCGAUGCGUUGAGCUAACCGGUACUAAUGAACCGUGAGGCUUAACCUUACAACGCCGAAG